rnacentral:sRNA from 1 species
UUUUCACCCUUGGUGCUCCUAUGUUUUCGACGUGAACAAACAAAUUUUAUAACAAUUAAGGAAAGGAGUGUUCUUGUUCACAACGGAAACAGAUGAGCACAAAGAUGUGCAGAUGCUACUGAAAACGUUUUGACUUUGACGAUGGAGAAUAGUCUGAUAGCGAUUAAAUGGAGAGGCUCCUCCAGUAACUUAGACCAAUCUACCAUUUCUCUAU